ensembl:lncRNA
ACCCGCCGGAGCUGCAACGCUGCCGCCAUUGGAGGUGGAUGAACACAUGCGAGCAUGUCGCGGAGCUAGAGACUACAACUCCCAGAGGCCUCUAGGACAUGGGGAAAUGGCCUCUGGCGGAGGCACGGCCAGUGGCGUGGGAAAUCGGGACAGGAAUUAUGAGGACGAGGGUGAGCAACCCAUGCAAAUAGGGCACUCCAGAUUAUCCCCUGAGGAGCGACAACGUCGGUGGAGGGACGAUUUGAUUCAGCCAUGAGGCAGUCUUCAACAGCGGCUGCAGACUCACCCACCCCCACUGCUGCUGUUCCACCUCUGACACCUCAGACAAUUCACACCUCCUCUACUCACCCUGCUCACUCCUCCCCACCCCCAACAACAGCAUCCAAUACACACUCAACACAAGGCUCCAGCCUGUCUCUACUCAACCACCCAGGUUAGGAGGGAACUGGGG